rnacentral:rRNA from 1 species
AUAUCAAUAAGCGGAGGAAAAGAAACUAACAAGGAUUCCCCUAGUAACUGCGAGUGAAGCGGGAAAAGCUCAAAUUUAAAAUCUGGCAGUCUUUGGCUGUCCGAGUUGUAAUCUGGAGAAGUGUUUUCCGCGCUGGACCGUGUACAAGUCUCUUGGAACAGAGCGUCAUAGAGGGUGAGAAUCCCGUCUUUGACACGGACUACCAGUGCUUUGUGAUGCGCUUUCAAAGAGUCGAGUUGUUUGGGAAUGCAGCUCAAAAUGGGUGGUAAAUUCCAUCUAAAGCUAAAUAUUGGCGAGAGACCGAUAGCGAACAAGUACCGUGAGGGAAAGAUGAAAAGCACUUUGGAAAGAGAGUUAAACAGUACGUGAAAUUGUUGAAAGGGAAACGCUUGAAGUCAGUCGCGUUGUUCAGAACUCAGCCUGACUUUUGUCUGGUGUAUUUUCUGUGCGACGGGCCAGCAUCAAUUUUGACCAUUGGAAAAGGGCCAGAGGAAUGUGGCACCUUCGGGUGUGUUAUAGCCUUUGGUCGCAUACAAUGGUUGGGAUUGAGGAUCUCAGCAUGCCUUUUGGCCGGGGUUCGCCCACGUUCAUGCUUAGGAUGCUGGCGUAAUGGCUUUAAACGACCCGUCUUGAAACACGGACCAAGGAGUCUAACAUGCCUGCGAGUAUUUGGGUGGAAAACCCGAGUGCGCAAUGAAAGUGAAAGUUGGGAUCUCUGUCAUGGGGAGCACCGACGCCCGGACCAGACCUUUUGUGACGGCUCCGCGGUAGAGCAUGUAUGUUGGGACCCGAAAGAUGGUGAACUAUGCCUGAAUAGGGUGAAGCCAGAGGAAACUCUGGUGGAGGCUCGUAGCGAUUCUGACGUGCAAAUCGAUCGUCAAAUUUGGGUAUAGGGGCGAAAGACUAAUCGAACCAUCUAGUAGCUGGUUCCUGCACAGAAGAA